CUGUCACUGACUCGUGCUCAGGUUACAUCACCUACAGAGAGUGGACGCACAUCUGUGACCUCACACUGCUGCAGAAGCGCUUCACAGCUGGAUUCUGUUGAGUGACCACUGGGUGGUGAUGAGUGUCACACUCUGUGCUCUCUGAUCUACGUCCACACUGAUGCAUGCUUUUCUCUCUGUUUUGGCCUCCCGUCCACACUGAGACGCCGUUUUCGCUCAAGGAAAACGCAGCGGUUUGAAAACGCAGCAUUUUGCGUCGCAGUGUGGACAGCGCAAACGUAGACUUUCUAAAACAAUGACGCAUUUUACUCUGUGAAAACGCAGGGUGGACGCAGAGCGUUGUCAAAUCUAUCUGGGCUAAUGUGGAGGUGGUACAAACAUUCAUGUGUGGGCUCAGGGACGUCUCUCAGUUUCAGGCAGGUACACUCCUCUCGUCACAUUCACCAGCAGACGGCGUCUUUGUGACUGGGUAACAUGGUGGCUCCGCCCUUUAUAGUUUCCAUACUUGCAACUAUUCCAUUUGAAAAUAACAGCAGCAGCAAGCCCGAGUCACACAGGUCGCUCUGCAAACUCCCGUUUGCCAGGGAAAAUGUGGAUCCCACACCCAGCUGCCAAGUAGGCGCUACUGUGAAACUGGCUGCAAAGAUAGUUAGUUAGUUAGUUAGUUAGUUAGUUAGCAAAUGUUGGUAUUUUCAUCCAAACUACAAGGAAGUUCCUGGUGGAGCCUCCAUCACAAACCCAACAGCCACCCGUGAGCUGGUUGGAGAAUCUUUUAUUGAGGAGAAAACAAGCAGACGGUUUCAUGCCGAGUGCUUCAUGUUAUAGCCUGAACCACGAGAACUCGCCUCUUUUCUUCCUCGCACACCUGAUGACAUGAAGGAUCAACUCUGUGCACGUGCGGCCUGCUGACAUCACCCUUCAGUGUUUUAGCUUCUCCUCGCUGCUGUCUUCAGCUGCCAGCCGGCACAGUUACCUUGCCCAGCUUUAAAGAGCACGGGGCGUCUGUCAGCGCUCGUGCAGAUCAGCACCUGCUGUGUUGCCUGUUGGUCUGACAGCUUCAGCAAGAAUUCAGAACCAAUAUUUCAUAGUUCAUGCCUUCAUCCAAAUCUCUGUUCACUCCCUCGUUUGGCCAAACGUGAGCGGGCUUCACGAUGCUGGCCUGCUGUCAUAAAUACGCACGCUGUAAAAAGUUAAUCAAAAUCUAGAUUCCUAGAAACGUACCAUGUCAGGCUGUUACUCAUUUGAAAGAAAUGCAGCCGGGGUCAUUGUAACGUCAGCCUGUAAAUGGUUUGGAAGCACAGCUCUCACGGAGCGCUGCCUUCAACAGCAAAUCAAAUCCUCUGCUUCAGGCUGAAAAUAACUGCUAUGAAAUGUGUUUGGUGUCAAAGGCUUGGGCUGAAGAACGACACGAGGGCAGCGCCCAGCUACUGAAGAUAAGAAGCGUCUCUCAGUCCAUAACAGAGCUUUGAAAGCAAAGCUUGCUGUAGACAGCAUUUCUUUUCUGCUGAUUGAACAGAUGCAGUUCUCUCUCAAGCACUGAUUAAAAUCCUGAUCAAUAACACACAACGUGUCCUCAGUAUCCAUGUUGUUAAACUGCUCUGC
ensembl:lncRNA